GACGAACGCUGGCGGCGUGCCUAAUACAUGCAAGUCGAGCGCAGGAAAUCGACGGAACCCUUCGGGGGGAAGUCGAUGGAAUGAGCGGCGGACGGGUGAGUAACACGUAAAGAACCUGCCCUCAGGUCUGGGAUAACCACGAGAAAUCGGGGCUAAUACCGGAUGGGUCAUCGGACCGCAUGGUCCGAGGAUGAAAGGCGCUUCGGCGUCGCCUGGGGAUGGCUUUGCGGUGCAUUAGCUAGUUGGUGGGGUAAUGGCCCACCAAGGCGACGAGGCAUAGCCGACCUGAGAGGGUGAGCGGCCACACUGGGACGGAGACACGGCCCAGACUCCUACGGGAGGCAGCAGUAGGGAAUCUUCCACAAUGGACGAAAGUCUGAUGGAGCAACGCCGCGUGAACGAUGAAGGCCUUCGGGUCGUAAAGUUCUGUUGUAAGGGAAGAACAAGUGCCGCAGGCAAUGGCGGCACCUUGACGGUACCUUGCGAGAAAGCCACGGCUAACUACGUGCCAGCCGCCGCCGUAA
rnacentral:rRNA from 1 species